rnacentral:lncRNA from 1 species
AAAAAUCGUGAGGAAGUCCUGGGGAAAAUCCUGGGAAAAUCCCAGGGAAAAUCCUGGGGAAAGCAUGGAAAGAAAUGUUGGGGAAAUCCUGGGAAAAUCUGUUAAAAAUCUCGAAAAAUUCUGAAAAAAUCAUGGAAAAAUACCGUGAAAACCCACUGGAAAUCGGUUUUCUGGGAUAUUCCCAUUUUCCCUGUUCCCAUUCCCGUUUGCCCUGUUCCCACUCCCAUUUUUCCCAUUUUUCCCAUUUGUCCCAUUUUUCCCAUUUUUCCCAUUUCCCAGGUGGACAGCCACUCGUUUUUCUGGAACAUUCCCAUUUCCUGUUCCCAUUCUCAUUUUCCCUGUUCCCAUUCCCAUUUUUCCCAGUUCCCACUCCCAUUUUUCCCGUUUCCCAGGUGCACAACCUCUCAUUUUCCCUGUUCCCAUUCCCAUUUUCCCUGUUCCCACUCCCAUUUUUCCCAUUUUCCCCAUUUUCCCAGGUGGACAGCCCCUGGUUUUCCCUGUUCCCACUCCCAUUUUUCCCAUUUUUCCUGUUUUCCCAGGUGCACAACCCCUCAUUUUCCCUGUUCCCUCUCCCGUUUUUCCCAUUUUUCCCGUUUUUCCCAUUUCCCAGGUGGACAGCCGCUCGUUUUUCUGGAAUGUGGCUCCGGGCGCCGAGGCGGCCGUCGGCUCCUUCGUGGCGCUGCUGGCGGCCGCCGAGGCCCUGCAGGCGGCCCCCGGCUCCCAGAGCCUGCCCCGGAACGUUCUCUUCGUCUUCUUCCAGGGGGAGAGCUUCGAUUACAUCGGCAGCUCCCGCCUGGCCUUCGACAUGGAGCGCGAGAAAUUCCCGCUGCGCCUGGAGAACAUCGGAGCCUUCCUGGAGCUGGGCCAGGUGGCCCUGCGGAACGACUCCGUGCUCUGGAUGCACACGGAUCCCAUCUCCCGGCGGAAUGAAUCCGUGGAAUCCGAGGUGCGGCGGGCGCUGGCGGCGCUGCGCGGGGCGGGGCCGGCGGCGGGGCUGCGGCUGCAGGAGCCCGGCCAGUCCCGGCCGCUGCCGCCGUCGGCCCUGCAGCGAUUCCUGCGCGCGCGGCCCGGCCUGCCCGGCCUGCUGCUGGCCGACCACCGCGGAGCCUUCCGGAACAGGUACGGGAUGGCGGCGGGAAUGACGGUAACGGGAAUGACAGCAGGGUAACGGGAAUGAUAACGGGAUAACGGGAAUGAUAACAGGAAGGACAGCGGGGUAACGGGAAUGACAGCGGGAAUGACAGCGG